UUGAUAUAUUGUAACCGCAAGAAUGUGUCAGACUCUCACCUGAGUGUAGGCCACGUAGUUUGCGGACGUACAGGGCGAAUAAACUCUCCAAGUGACAGUGGUACAAAGUAGGACAUGAUGCUCAGAGCUGUGGGGCUGUCGCUUCCCUCACUCUCCAUCACAUGGUAAAAUGCCAUCCUCCCCGGC